CUGAGCCUCGGUCCCGGCCGCGGGGAGCCGGCGGGUAGAGGCUGGGCCGCGGAGGCCGGAGGGGAGGAGCCCGGGCCGCCGCCGCCGCCGCCGCCGCCCUGCAGGAGGGGAGCAUGUCUGCGAGUCGAGCCAAGAAAGUGAAGAUGGCCACCAAGUCGUGCCCCGAGUGCGACCAGCAGGUUCCUGUUGCAUGUAAAUCUUGUCCCUGUGGUUACGUAUUUAUUAAUAGGAAACUUCUAAUAGUAAAACACUCAGAGAAAUCAUCACCUUUUACAGAAGUGAACAGUGCCCCGUCUUUGAAAGAUUUGCGAAUACUAUUUUUAUAUGAAUUUAAACUAGGACAUAGUGCAGCCACAGCAAGUAGAAACAUCAAUUCUGUCUUUGGAAAAGGCUCUGUUAGUGAGAGGACUAUCCGGUGGUGGUUUGAAAAAUUUCGUUCUGGAGAUCUGAGUCUGAAAAAUGAGCCUCGAGGGAGACCCAAAUCUGUUUUAAAUGAAGAUCAACUGAGAGCCAUGGUGGAAGCUAACCCCAAAACAGCAAUUCGAGGCCUUGCGGCAGACUUAGGAGUUUCUGCUACAACAAUUUCUCGACACCUGGCUGCAAUAGGAAAGGUGAAAAAGUUGGACAAGUGGGUAGGUAACACCAACUGACAGAUGAUCAUAAACGGAGAUGAUUACAGGUGUGUUCUUACCUUGGGAUUUGAAAGAGCAGAGACCUAUUUUGGAGAAAUCUUAAGCUUUGACAAAAAAAAAUGAUAGUGGUCUGGACAAUGGUUGGAUGUUGAUGUAGUUUCCAAACGUGUUAAAACCAUCACUGUAAUCAAAAAAAGGUUCUGGUAACUCUAUGGUGGUCCGCCAAGAGAGUAUUUCAUUGCUUUUGACUCAGACAAAACUAAUAGUAGCAUCUUUUUGUCAAGAAGUUGAAACUAUUUGUCAAAAAUGGGUCUAAAAGCGCUGCAUUGGUGAGCAGGUAUGGAGGGACCUGUACUUUUCCAUCAUUUGACCACUGAAACCCCAGACCACCAAAGGGAGUAACUGCAUUGGCCCAAGGACUUUUGCCAAAUCCAUCACACUCACCUGACCUUUUUUCAACAUUACCACCUCUUUUACCAUUUGGAACUCCAAGAAACAGAACAUUCUCCAAUAGACAACAGUAAUUGAAGGAUUUGAAUAAAUUUUAACAAUGCUGAAUUUUAUAAAUAUGUAAUAUUUGGAGAAAUUUAUCAUUGGGGGAAAGUAGUGAAUGCUAACUGCGUAUUUUGCUCAAAUAAAAACUUCUUUUUCUGAAAAAUA